rnacentral:rRNA from 1 species
GACGAACCGUGCGAACGUUAUUCGGAAUCACUGGGCUUAAAGCGCGUGUAGGCGGAGCGGCACGUCGGUCGCUGAAAGCCCCCGGCUCAACCGGGGAACGGGCGCCGAUACGACCGUUCUGGAGGGACGUAGGGGGACCUGGAACUUCCGGUGGAGCGGUGAAAUGCGUUGAGAUCGGAAGGAACGCCCGUGGCGAAAGCGAGGUCCUGGACGUCUGCUGACGCUGAGACGCGAAAGCCAGGGGAGCGAACGGG